rnacentral:rRNA from 1 species
GCUUGUCUCAAAGAUUAAGCCAUGCAUGUCUAAGUAUAAAAGUAUUCUAUACUUGAAACUGCGGAAAGCUCAUUAAAUCAGUUAUAGUUUAUUUGAUGGUACCUUACUACAUGGAUACCCGUAGUAAUUCUAGAGCUAAUACAUGCGUAAAGGCCCAACUCGUGAGGGAAGGGCUGUAUUUAUUAGAUAAAAAACCAAUGCACCCGCAAGGGUGCUUUUGUGGUGAAUCAUAAUAACUGUUCGAAUCGCAUGACCUCGCGUCGGCGAUAGUUCAUUCAAAUUUCUGCCCUAUCAGCUUUCGACGGUAGUGUAGUGGACUACCGUGGCGUUAACGGGUAACGGAGAAUUAGGGUUCGAUUCCGGAGAGGGCGCCUGAGAGAUGGCGACCACAUCCAAGGAAGGCAGCAGG